rnacentral:lncRNA from 1 species
GAGAGAUGGUGAUUUCAUGGGAGACCUUGCAGAGCGAGGUAUGUAUAGUCUCAUUAUACAGCAGAGUCAAGUCAAUAAUGUCAGGGAUAAGGGAGAGGGUAAAUACAGCAACUAUCCUUUGGCUCAUCAUAAAUAACUAAUAAAGCAGAAUUGGAGACUAGUUGUCACUGCUUGUUCAUAUGCGGCCUAUUUCUGGCAAGUGCUGACUAUGGGCACCUGACAAUAACUCCAGGAAAGGCAGUGAAAACAAGCAUCUUCUGGUUCUGCAAGCUGGAGUGGCUGUGAUGUUAAUUCACUAUGACGUACCAAAGAGGAACAUCCCAAGACAUUCCUAAGACCUGCCAAGUUUCUCUCCAUCUCUCUCAUAUAUGUGUGUAUCUCUCAGCAAACACCGACCUUGAUCCAUUUCUCAGGUUCAGCAUGUGUCGUGAAGAGAGCUGCCUUGUACUUGUGAAUACAUCUGCCUGCAGGUGCAAGAGAUUUCCAACAGGAACAACAAGAGAAGAAAAAAUGUGGUCCAACCUAGCACAGGUUCUCUAGAAGGGUAACCCGUGUUGGAAGCCACCCAAAUAACUGCGCUCAAGCAAGCCCUGAAGCAAGAAGCUCUGUCAUGAUGCUGACGGAGAGUGGUGAAUUAUCAAAGUCAUUGCACUGGUUUUGAAGGAUUGAUGACAGCAAACAAAAAGGAGAUCUGAUUGUAGAAGAGGAGAUGAAGUCAUUUAAUUAAA